GCUUUUUAGCAGGGACAAAUUUGGUCUUUGAAUCAAUCAGAUUAGGGUUUAACUUCAUGUCUUUGUGUUUGUGCAUUGUGUCUGAGAUCCCUGAAUAUAAAGUUGAAGGCUUGCCAUCUGUUAUGCUUUUUGUCGAAGGAGCUAUUGGGAGAUUUUGAGGCAUAUGCAGAGAUUUUCAUUCCAGUAUGUUGAUAUUAUCUUACCAAUAACAAUCCUGAUCUGGUCACCAAAUAGGAAGUAAAAAAAAUUAAAAUCAUCAAGUGAAAAGGUGGUACUCUAAUUUUAUCAUAUGUAACCAGGUCCUUUUCAAGCUGGUUGUGAUAGAUGUACUUGUAAUUGCAGAGUCUGUAGAUAACUGCAUAAAAACGAUAAUUUCAAUUCUAUUGACCCUUUUUCCUGCUACCUUUACCUCUCUCUCUUUUCUUUUUUCUCUUUUUUGUUUUACAUAAUAUUCAUUUAUGAAA